rnacentral:rRNA from 1 species
UGGGAAUAUUGCGCAAUGGGCGAAAGCCUGACGCAGCAACACCGCGUGAGGGAUGACGGCCUUCGGGUUGUAAACCUCUUUCAGCUCCGACGAAGCGAAAGUGACGGUAGGAGCAGAAGAAGCACCGGCUAACUACGUGCCAGCAGCCGCGGUAAUACGUAGGGUGCAAGCGUUGUCCGGAUUUAUUGGGCGUAAAGAGCUCGUAGGCGGUUCGGUAAGUCGGGUGUGAAAACUCUGGGCUCAACCCAGAGAGGCCACUCGAUACUGCUGUGACUAGAGUGCGGUAGGGGAGCGGGGAAUUCCUGGUGUAGCGGUGAAAUGCGCAGAUAUCAGGAGGAACACCAGUGGCGAAGGCGCCGCUCUGGGCCGUAACUGACGCUGAGGAGCGAAAGCAUGGGUAGCAAACAGGAUUAGAUACCCUGGUAGUCCAUGCCGUAAACGUUGGGCACUAGGUGUGGGUCUCAACCAACGAGAUCCGCGCCGUCGCUAACGCAUUAAGUGCCCCGCCUGGGGAGUACGGUCGCAAGACUAAAACUCAAAUGAAUUGA